rnacentral:rRNA from 1 species
AACGUAGGUGGCGAGCGUUAUCCGGAUUUACUGGGCGUAAAGCGUGUGCAGAUGGGGGAGUAAGUGGUGUAUGAAAUCGCUCGGCUUAACCGGGCGGGGUUAUGCCAGACUGCUUUUCUAGAGAACGGGAGAGGGACGUGGAAUUCCGGGUGUAGUGGUGAAAUGCGUAGAGAUCCGGAGGAACCCCUGAGGCGAAGGCGGCCAGCUGGGAUACACCUGACGCUGAGACACGAAGGCGUGGGGAGCGAACGGG